rnacentral:tRNA from 6 species
GCCCAGGUGGUGGAACUGGUAGACACACCAUCUUGAGGGGGUGGCGCCGAAAGGUGUGCGGGUUCGAAUCCCGCCCUGGGCAC